ACGGAGGGUGCAAGCGUUAUUCGGAAUUACUGGGCGUAAAGCGCGUGUAGGCGGUCCUGCAAGUCUGAUGUGAAAAAUAAGGGCGUAACCCGGGAAGUGCAUUGGAAACUGCAGGUCUUGAGUACUGGAGAGGAUGGGGGAAUUCCCGGUGUAGAGGUGAAAUUCGUAGAGAUCGGGAGGAAUAUCAGUGGCGAAGGCGCCCAUCUGGACGGUAACUGACGCUGAGACGCGAAAGCGUGGGGAGCAAACAG
rnacentral:rRNA from 1 species